rnacentral:rRNA from 1 species
GACGUAGGUGGCAAACGUUAUCCGGAAUUAUUGGGCGUAAAGGGUGCGUAGAUGGCAUGAUAAGUUAUUGGUGGUAAAUCGAGGCUCAACCUCGUGGAAGCUGGUAAUACUGUUAUGCUCGAGUGCAGAAGAGGUUAACGGAACUCCCUGUGGAGCGGUAAAAUGUGAAGAUAUAGGGAAGAACACCAAUAACGGCGAAGGCAGUUAACUAUUCUGUUACUGACAUUGAGGCACGAAAGCGUGGGGAGCAAAACGG